rnacentral:lncRNA from 1 species
UUUGCUUUCGAAAUGAGCUUCAAGCCUGCACAACAUAAAUUCAUAUAAAAGUGAAACAGAAAAGGAACUACUCAAAGGGAAGGGAGAGGAGCAUUGCCUGGUUGCACAUUUAUAAUAAAUGGUAUCAGGUGAGUUAUAUGUGCGUGCAUUGGCAAACAUCCUCUUUACGUCAGCAACAAACAUAUCAAAGGUUACAUAAUACUGCUCUGAUUCUACCCUUUUUGACAUUGUCUUCAGGUCUGUAGCACAACAAAUAUUCAUCAAUUAAUCACAACACGAGCUCCACUCUGAAUAUUAAACCUGCUAUUAAGAAUGUCUCAAAUAAGUUUGAAUUUUAAGGACUCUUGGCAAAUUACAUAUCAAAUUCCAGAAGGGCAGAGAGUCAAACACAGUUGUUACGUAGCAUUACAGUCAAGAUUUUGAUUGACUUGACUAUGUAUUUCCUCCCAGAAGAUAUUAUUUAAAAUUCUGAAAUUGAAAUUGCAACUCCAUUUGUAUCGGGUUGAAUCCAUUAUUUAGUUUUAGCAUUUCAAAUUAACUAGACAUUUUAUUCUACCAUUUGGGUAUCUAUUGACAAGUGUUUUUUUUUUUGGUAAAUAAAGAGAAAGCAACAGACUGAAUUUUUCUAACUAAUAAAAACUCCAUGACUGCAUUUGUAUUUGCAUAGGAUAAAAAAUUACAUAUUAAAAAGGAGGUAAAUAGUGGUGGUUGUUGGGAAUUGAUGAAAACAUUCCAAGAAACAAAGAAAACCCAAGUUGCGCAGAUUUUAAUAAAAGACAUAGGACCUUUCCUCUGCUUAGAUGACCAGAAGUCAAAUGAAUUUUGCACAAACCGAUUGUCCAACGUUAUGCAUGACAAGUUUCCAAAAGACUAAGAAAAAGGAGGAAACUAGAAUUACUCUAAGGAAUGGCAAAAGCGUAGGUUUUGCAUUUUGCAAGGGUGGGGACACACCCUCAUUUAAAAUUCUAUCUUCCAAUGAAGAAAAUAUAACAAC